GCGCUUGUAGCUCAGUUGGAUAGAGCAUCGGAUUUCUAAUCAGAGGGUCACAGGUUCAAAUCCUGUCAGGCGUACCA
rnacentral:tRNA from 1 species